UAGACUUCUCGGCCUUUUGGCUAAGAUCAAGUGUAGUAUCACUUAUUAGACAUAAACAUUUACUGGGAUUAAGUCUCUUGAAAUUGGAAAGACUACAAAUGAAAUGUAUUUUUUAAACGUGAGGGAACAUCUUUCUAGGAAUCUCAAGACUCUCCUGUAUGAAUCUGGGCAAUUUCUGUCACA